UCCUCCUCAGUUCAGUCGGUAGAGCGGCGGACUGUUAAUCCGUAUGUCGCUGGUUCAAGUCCAGCAGGAGGAGCCG
rnacentral:tRNA from 1 species